GAGAGAGAGAGAGAGAGAGAGAGAGAGAGAGAGAGAUCUUGACUAUGCGGUUCAGUUCUGGUCACCUGACUAUAGAAUGGAUAUCAGAAUGUUAGAAUCGGUGCAGAGAGAGAGAGAGAGAGAGAGAGAAUCUUGACUAUGCGGUUCAGUUCUGGUCACCCUACUAUAGAAUGGAUAUCAAAAUGUAAGAAUCGGUGCAGAGGAGGAAGACUAAGAUGAUUCAGGGGUUGAGAAACUUGCCAUACGAGGAAAGACUCAAACAGUUAAACUUACAUUCUCUAGAAAGGUGAAGGGUGCGUGGAGACAUGAUCGAGGUUUAUAAAUGGAUGAAGGGCUUUAAUAAGGGAGACAUUCAUAAGGUUUUGUUGGUAAGAGAACCGGGUAGGACACGAAGUAAUGGGUUUAAACUGGAUACAUUCAGAUUCAACAGGGUCAUAGGAAAGAAUUGGUUUAGGCCUACUAACAGAGUGGUGGAUGAGUGAAAUAGGCUUAGCAGUCAUGUGGUGAGUGCCAAUACAAUUAUCACAAUCAAAAAUAGAUUAGAUAACUUCAUGGACAGCGAUAUUAGGUGGGGCAGAUACACGGGAGCUUAGGUUCAAAGGAGCUGCCUUGUACAGACCUACCGACCUCUUUAAUUAAGGGAUUGAAUGACCAUAUUCUCAAACGCUUCGCCGCUCACACACUCACAUUCGUCAGGGUUUUGGAAGGGGUAUUGGGCAUUUCCAGAGCUACAUUCAUGACCCUGGUGGUAGUUUGACCCCUCUGCUGUACCUUGGGGCCAGUUUCACAGUUCAACACAUGCAGUUAUUGUGAGCGCCCUAAACAAACUAUAUAUUCACCACAAAGAUUCGCUAUUUCUACUCAAUCCCAGAUACUAAAGAGAUUUCUAGUGUGGUUUUCUAAAGUUUCCCUCUUUUUAUAUCAACACCAAACACUAUACAAGGCGUUUUCUAAAGGUUAAAGAUGGGGUCAGUCGAGUUCCAAUGAGUGUUUCUUCAGGUUCACGGUACAGAAGAAGGGUCAAACUACCACCAGGGUCAUAAAACUACUCCUGGAAAUGCCUACAACUCCUACGAAAGCCUUGUCAAAUAGGUGUUCUUAGCUUCACGGUACAGAGGAAGGGUCACACUACCAUCAGGGUCAUAAAACUACUCCUGGAAAUGCCCACAACUCCUACGAAAGCCUUGUCAAAUAUGUGUUCUUGGGCGGCGAAAUGUCUUAUACUAUCGUUUCUCACAUUAACAAUUUCUAAAGGUCAAAGAUGGGGUCAGUCGAGUUCCAAUGAGUGUUUCCUUAGGUUCACGGUACAGAGGAAGGGUCAAACUAACACCAGGGUCAUAAAACUGCACCUGGAAAUGCCCACAACUCCUACGAAAGCCUUGUCAAAUAGGUGUUCUUGGGCGGCGAAAUGUCUUAUAAUAUACUAUCGUUUCUCACAUUAACAAUUUCUAAAGGUCAAAGAUGGGGUCAGUCGGGUUCCAAUGAGUGCUUCCUUAGGUUCACGGUACAGAGGAAGGGUCAAACUAACACCAGGGUCAUAAAACUGCACCUGGAAAUGCCCACAACUCCUACGAAAGCCUUGUCAAAUAGGUGUUCUUGGGCUGCGAAAUGUCUUGUACUAUCGUUUCUCACGUUAACAAUUUCUAAAGGUCAAAGAUGGGGUCAGUCGAGUUCCAUUGAGUGCUUCCUUAGGUUCACGGUACAGAGGAAGGGUCAAACUAACACCAGGGUCAUAAAACUACUCCUGGAAAUGCCCCAAACUCCUUCAAAAGCCUUGUCGUGUUGGAUCGGACUGUGAAAUCGGCUUUUAAACGUGAAAAACAACCAUGGAAACCCGAUUUUAAACUGUUCUCAAGGGGGGCACCUGUAUCUCCGCCCCCUCCCCCCCCCCUCACCUGGCGGCCACGACCUCUCACCUACCCCCCUUCCU